rnacentral:rRNA from 1 species
CGUGUAGGCGGCCCGACAAGUCCGCUGUGAAAGUCCAGGGCUCAACCCUGGAAUGCCGGUGGAUACUGUCGGGCUAGAGUCCGGAAGGGGCGAGUGGAAUUCCUGGUGUAGCGGUGAAAUGCGCAGAUAUCAGGAGGAACACCAAUGGCGAAGGCAGCUCGCUGGGACGUGACUGACGCUGAGACGCGAAAGCGUGGGGAGCAAACAGGAUUAGAUACCCUGGUAGUCCACGCUGUAAACGAUGGGCACUAGGUGUGGGGGGUGUCGACUCCCCCCUGUGCCGAAGCUAACGCAUUAAGUGCCCCGCCUGGGGAGUACGGCCGCAAGGCUAAA